rnacentral:lncRNA from 1 species
CACACACAGGCCAGUGGUCACAAUCUCAACACCUGAGUUUUCUAUAAACGAUUUAUCAGAGGUUGCAGCUGAACGUGGCCAUGAGGUAAACCCUGCCCUUGGUUGAAAUUUAGUUUCAUCAGCUUCUACAUGGAAUUAUAAGGACUUGGAAAAGAUCACAAAACCCAACAGGUUUUUCUUUUUUUAAGGUUUAU